CAAGUCGAGGGGCAGCAUGAACUUAGCUUGCUAAGUUUGAUGGCGACCCGUGCACGGGUGAGUAACACGUAUCCAACCUGCCGAUGACUCGGGGAUAGCCUUUCGAAAGAAAGAUUAAUACCCGAUGGCAUAGUUCUUCCGCAUGGUAGGACUAUUAAAGAAUUUCGGUCAUCGAUGGGGAUGCGUUCCAUUAGCUUGUUGGCGGGGUAACGGCCCACCAAGGCAUCGAUGGAUAGGGGUUCUGAGAGGAAGGUCCCCCACAUUGGAACUGAGACACGGUCCAAACUCCUACGGGAGGCAGCAGUGAGGAAUAUUGGUCAAUGGGCGCUAGCCUGAACCAGCCAAGUAGCGUGAAGGAUGACUGCCCUAUGGGUUGUAAACUUCUUUUAUAUGGGAAUAAAGUGCAGUAUGUAUACUGCUUUGCAUGUACCUUAUGAAUAAGGAUCGGCUAACUCCGUGCCAGCAGCCGCGGUAAUACGGAGGAUCCGAGCGUUAUCCGGAUUUAUUGGGUUUAAAGGGAGCGUAGGCGGGUUGUUAAGUCAGUUGUGAAAGUUUGCGGCUCAACCGUAAAAUUGCAGUUGAUACUGGCAUCCUUGAGUACAGUAGAGGUAGGCGGAAUUCGUGGUGUAGCGGUGAAAUGCUUAGAUAUCACGAAGAACUCCGAUUGCGAAGGCAGCCUGCUGGACUGUAACUGACGCUGAUGC
rnacentral:rRNA from 1 species